rnacentral:tRNA from 1 species
GGGAGCAUAGAGCGUAAUGGUAGCGUCUUCGGCUGUAAACCGAAUGUGAGGUUCACCUUGGAGGUUCGAGUCCUUCUGCUCCCACCA